rnacentral:lncRNA from 1 species
AAAAAAAGGAAGUCAAAGAAAAUCAAAACCAAUUUAAUAUAAUUGUGAUAAUUGUUUGAGAAAGAUGAAAAAAGAAAAAAAAGAAAAAGGAGAUUAGGUGAUUGAUUUAGAGUUGCCGACAAUAUUAGAUUUUUAGUUGGUAAAGAAAACGUAUUUAACAAAAAAAAAAAGAUUAGAGCUUUAAAUCUCUUGAAAUACUUAAAUGCUAACAUUAAAAAAAAAGAUUAGUUAAGAAAAUGAAAUUAAGGAGAGAUCCGAAUCAGUACAGAGACAAUGACUGAUUAUAUAGAAAAAUUGAGAUAAAGAGAGAUCCGAAUCAGAACUGAGACAAUGACUGAUUAUAUAGCGUAAAAUAGAAGUGACUAGGAAUUAACAAAAACUUUUAAUCAAACAAACAAAAAAGGGAAAAAAGAAAAAGAAAAAGGAGACGUGAACUAAAUAGUAGUAGCGAUUGCGUCAGUCGCUUCAGCUGGCUACCAGAAUAAACAACACAGAAACUUAUCUCCCGUGGGAGAUUAGACGAUGAAUAUUCAUUGCCACUCUUUUGGUUACACUUUGUCACUAGAUGUGAAAACGCUUAAUUACGAAGGCAUAAAAACCUCGUGACUCGGCGCCCCAGCCUAGAGGGAGGGUUCCCUUGCACCUGAUUUGAUCCGCCGGCUUGACUUGGCCCAUUAGCACCAUCAGAUUCAGGACCCGUUUGAGCAUUGUUUUGCUGAUUUGGUGAUUGGGAGUCCUCUGAGGAGGAUGUAAAAUUUUCCUCCAUCCUCUCUGACUUUUCUCUAAAGGGUAAACUUAGAAAGGAUCUCUUUAUAUUGGCUAUCCAGGGGGACGCUGAGGGUCUCCGGGGCACUCCUAUUUUUUCCAUUUCCUCCAUAUAUUUUUGGGAUUUUGCCCUGGCUUUUUCCUGCAGUUCUUCAUCAGACUGGUUUGGCUUAUAAACAACUGUAUCAGGACUUGUUAUCCUGGGCUCUUCACUGGACUGGCCAUUGUGGGUCCGUUUGCGCUUGCGCUUUGACUCUGAUUGUUGUGGCCGGCGUAAUUGGCAUUGGCUUUGUUGGUUUUGGUCUGGAGAUUCAUCCUUUGAUUUUGGUGUAUGAGUGGCUUGGACACGUGUGGUUUCUGCUUGGGUUUCACCAGGCUUCUGCUUAGGAGAAGGGCCUUUCUCAGGACUAGUACCGCCCAUGAUUUGUUCUCAGCAAAAUAUUUGCUCAGUGUAAAUGACUAGUUAGCUAUAUAGACUUGAUAGAGAAGCAUUCAUGUUCGUGAAACUCCCUCUGUAUUUCUUCUCUAUUUCCGUGAAAUAGAUUUUAUUUAUAAAAUAAAUCGUGAGUCUGUUUUGUGACAUGGCACAUCAAAUACAACUGACA